AAUUCUCAACCUUCAACUUUAUUGAUGAAGGCUUGGACUUGGAGGUCGUGUCGGCUCUUGUUAGUCGACUCCUCUGAAAUGCAUUAGUGCGAACGUUACCAGCCGCUUCAGCGUGAUAAUUAUCUGCGUUGCUGUGGGGGGUAAGUGAGUGUUCACGCUUCUAAUCGUCUUCGGACAACAUUUCUGAA
rnacentral:misc_RNA from 1 species